CAAAGAAUAGUUUAAGUAGAAUACCAGCUUUGGGGGUUGGGGGCAGGAGUUAAAGUCUUCUUUCUUUGA
rnacentral:tRNA from 2 species